AUACUUACACAUGAUCACGAAGGUUCACCCAGUGCCAUUGCACUUUGGUGGUGCUGACUCAUGCGAAUUCUGCAAAUGCGGGAAUUUCAUCUGCAUAAUUCGUCUGGUAGUGGGGGACUACGUUUGCGCUCUCCCCUG
ensembl:snRNA U1 U1 spliceosomal RNA